UAAAUUUAUAUUAUUUUAGUAAAAUUUUAAUUUUAAAAUUUUAAUUUAUAUAAAAUUUGUUUAAUAAUUAAUUGGUAAUAUUUAUAAUUAAUAAAUUAAUUAAUUUUGGAAUUAGAAAUUUUAAAAAUUUUUAACUAAUUAUAGUGCCAGCAGUUGCGGUUAAACUAUUAAAAAAAAUUAAAUUUAAUAAUUUAUUAUUAAUAUAUUUAAAAAUUUAUUUAAAUAAAUUUAUUAAUUUUUAGUGAAAUAAAAUUAUAAAUUUAAUUUAUUUAUGUUAUUUAAAAUAUUUAUAUUAAAAAUUAAACUAGGAUUAGAUACCCUAUUAUUUUAAUAUUUAUUAUAAUAAUUGAUUAGUAAAUGUAAAAUCAUUAAAUUUAAUUAAUAUGGGAGUAAUUUAAAUUAUUAGGGGAACUUGAAAAUUAAUUUGAUAAUCCACGAUUAUAACUACUUUAUUUAAUUUAUUUUGUAUGAUUGUUUAUAAUUUAAUUUAAUAAAAUUAUUUAUUUUAUAUGUUUAAAUUUUAUUUUAAAAAUUUUUACAUAAAACAAUUCAAAUCAAUAUUUAUUUAUAAUAAAGAUUAUUUGAGUUACAAUAAAUUUUAUUUUUGGAUUUAAUUAAUUAAUUUAAUUAUUGAAAUUGGAUUUAAAAUUAAAUAUUUUAUUUAAUUAUAUUGAAUUUAAAUUAAAUUAGCUACAAACUGCCCGUCACUCUUUUUUUAAAAAGAUAAGUCGUAACAAGGUAAUUAUAUUGGAAAAUAUAAUUAGAUUAAU
rnacentral:rRNA from 1 species